rnacentral:misc_RNA from 1 species
UACGGAGGGUGCGAGCGUUAAUCGGAAUUCCUGGGCGUAAAGCGGGCGUAGGUGGCGUGGUAAGCCUGUUGUGAAAGCCCCGGGCUCAACCUGGGAACGGCAUCCGGAACUGUCAGGAUAGAGUGCAGGAGAGGAAGGUAGAAUUCCCGGUGUAGCGGUGAAAUGCGUAGAGAUCGGGAGGAAUACCAGUGGCGAAGGCGGCCUUCUGGACUGACACUGACGCUGAGGUGCGAAAGCGUGGGUAGCAAACAGG